rfam:Ananas comosus cultivar MD2 ACMD2_Scaffold_1032, whole genome shotgun sequence.
AUAAAGGCGGUUGUGACCGCCACUAUAAUUUAAUUUAAUAUUUUUU